GCUUGGGGCCAACCUCCUCCUGGCUGAUUCUCCUUCUCGUGUAUUGGAAGGGCGGAAAAAAGUGAGAACAAGGUGGCGAAAAAAUUUAAAAGAUGGGUAUAUCUGCCUGUCAUACGGAUCCCCUACAAAAAAAUAUGAUGUGGAGAGAGAUAUAUCUCAGAGCAGAGGUAUUAGGCUUUAUUUAUAGGUGUUAAGAGAGAGGGAGUUU
rnacentral:lncRNA from 1 species